rnacentral:lncRNA from 1 species
AUGACACCUUUAGUGUGGGACGGCUAUAUAUACGGAGCCUUGACAAAAAGAGAAGACACAGUAGCUUCUUUUAUGAAAGAAAUAUAUAAAGCAAUAAAGAAAUAUAUAAAGUGAGAAAUUAAAAUGGUGUUAGACUGUUAGUAAUCUACAAAUGUCGAUGUUCGACGGGUGAUAAUUCACGGCAGGAGGUAAAAGGCAUUUGGAAAAUGAUUCCUUAGAAGGGUUAUCUAAACAACCAGGUAAAUCACUAGUUCGUGAUUCAAGGAGCCGGAUCGAGCCUUGGUAUGUUAAAGGAUUGAACAUAUGUUUAUAACUCAUUUCGAAUGUACAAAUUAUGAGUUAUUUAAAUAUGUUUUGGUUAUGUAAACUUACUCAACUUAUCAGAUAAAUAUAUAAUGUGAAUCUUAAAGA